rnacentral:rRNA from 1 species
AUGGAGGAGGGUGUGGCCGAUGCUGCUACUGGUGGCAGGAUGGACGGCGCGGUGGAGGGCGUGGCCGACGCUGCGCCGGUCUCGGCCUCGGGCGGCCAUGGCGGGGAGGUGACGGGCGGCCAUGGCGGGGAGGCGAAGGGCGUCCAUGCCGGGGAGGCGGAGGGAGUUCCAGGCGCGCCACUGGAGGGCGUCCAUGGCGGGGAGGCGGAGGGAGCUCCAGGUGCGGCGCCGGAGGGCAGCCAUGGCGGGGAGGCAGAGGGAGGUUCAGGUGCGACGGCCUCGGAUGCAAGUGCUCCGGCAUGGCUACAAGGGAUGGAUCCAAAUUCAACAUAUUUGCUGAAAAUCAAAUUGCUUGGCAACCCAAAAAAAGCUAGGAAGGAUAUCAAAUGCUUUUGUUAUGAUAAGGUUAUUGAUUCCGACUUAACAAAUUAUAAGGACUUGGUUGAAUCAAUCGUAGAGCAGUACUCGCCUCGCUAUUUGGAAGUUGCACAUGUUCAGUACUAUGAUCCUUUUCUUAAAAUCUACCCAGAAGUAACAUCUGACCAGGAAUUGGUGUCUAUGUUUGAGAAACUCUCUAAGACAAAGGUUGUGCACUUGUUUGUUGCAUAUUGUGAUCCAUCUGAACCAUAUGAGCCUAUCACGGAGUGGCAUAUUGAUGUGCAUAUCCAACCUAGCAACACAGAACAAGACGACGAUGAUUAUCUUCGCAACCCAAUACCUGAGAAUGAACAUGUUGGUGUUGAUGAGGAAAAUAUUUAUUUAGACGAUGAUGAUUAUGAUAAAUUAGAUCCUCUUAUCAUGGUUCCCUGUUCCGAUAAAGAAAGGGACGAAGACUAUGUUCCUGAUCAUGAGAGCGAGGAUGAGAGCGAGGAUGAGAGCGAUGAGGAAGUAGAGGAAGAUGAGGAAGUGCACGAGGCAGAGCAUGCACCACAUUUAGAAUAUGAUAAAUUAGAUCCCCCAAUGACCGAAGGAAGAAAAUAUCCCAAUAUGGCAGAGUUUAAGUUGGCGCUUUCUCAACAUGCAAUCAAACAUGAACUCGAGUUUAACACCGAGAAAAUUGCACCACAUAGGUUCAGGGCUUAUUGUUCAAGAAGGGAUGAAGAUAAGUGUCCAUGGAGGAUAUAUGCUUCUACAAUGGAAGAUGGGUGCACCGUAAUGGUGAGAAAGAACUCUUGUGGUCAUGAUUGCUCAAGUACAAAAAGGAAAAAGAAGAUAAAGAAUGCAACCAAGCGGUGGAUAUGUGAGCACGUGAAGGAUUGGCUAAUUGAGGAUGCAACUCUAGGACCAAAGGCAUUGCGAAAGAAGCUUAAAGAGCACCAUGGAAUCAACAUCAAGUACAAGAGAGUAUACAUGGGUAAGCUGCUAGCCUUGAAGGAACUAUAUGGUGAUUGGGAUACAAGCUUUGAUAAUCUGUAUAGUUUUAAGGCACAAAUUGAAAGGUGCUGCCCUGGUAGCAUAGUGAUAAUUGAGCACCACACAAUAAAAGAUAAAAUCAGAUUUAAGAGAUUUUUUGUCGCUUUGAAGCCUUGCAUCGACGGGUUCCUUAGUGGUUGCAGGCCAUACUUGGCAGUAGAUAGCACCUUCUUGACAGGCAGAUUCAAGGGGCAACUGGCUAGUGCUACCACCGUUGAUGGCCAUAGUUGGAUGUAUCCAGUCUGUAUGGGUGUUUUUGAUUCUGAAACUAAUGAGAACUGGAUCUGGUUCAUGCAAUUGGUUAGGCAAGCCAUAGGAUCCCCAAGGGGUUUAACCAUAUGCACCGACGCUGGGCAGCCAGUGAUGACCGGUGUAAAAGAAGUGUUCCCAGAGGCUGAACAUAGGGAAUGUAUGUUUCACUUGGUGUCCAACUUCAAGAAGAAGUUUCAUGGAAAGGUUUUUGAUGACCACCUUUGGGCUGCUGCUUACUCAUGGAAACCAUAUUUAUUUGAGAAAAAUUGGGUUGCAAUGGACAUAGCAAAGCCAACGGCAACUGCAUAUUUUAGGAAGUGGCACACUAGGUUGUGGUCUAGGAGUCAGUUCUCAACAAUUUCCAAGGUGGAUUAUGUUACAAACAACUUGGCUGAGUGCUUCAAUAAUUGGAUUAAGCAUCACAAGUCCUUGAACUUGGACAACUUCUUUGAUAAGCUUAGGCAAUUGAUUAUGAUCAUGUGGAACCGAAGGAGAAAGGUAGCAAGAAAGUUAGUUGGGUUGAUUCUUCCCCACAUAAUUAAGAAGUUGAAUGCAAAGACCAGAGAAUUAAACUUGGAGGUGGUUGAAAGCUCAGAAGAAGUUGCUGAAGUAACCGCAUUGGGAGGCAGCGGCUUUAGGUUUGUGGUCAACUUGCUUGACAGGACAUGUUCUUGUAGACAAUGGGAAGUUUCUGGCCUUCCUUGCAAACAUGGUCUAGCAUUUAUCACAUCUCUUACCAAUGCACGCAUAGAGAACUAUGUGGACUUGUGUUACUCCAUUCACAAAUUUAGAGCAGCUUAUGACCAACUAAUCCCUGCCAUGGUUGACAAGAACCAGUGGCCUAAAUCAGAGCAUGGAUUCUUCAUGUUUCCACCACUACUAAAAGCCACAUCGGGUAGGCCUAAAACUGAGAGGUAUAAAGGCUGCAGUGAGAAGAAAAGAAAAAGCGGCCAACACUUAUGCCCUAUUUGCAAGGACUAUGGGCAUCAUUGGCACAAAUGCAAGAAGGGUAACCCAGAUGACAUUGCUGCUAUUUUAGCUGUGAGAGGACCACCAAAGAAGAGGACAAAGACCACCAAAUCAGCUCAAUCAUCAAUUGUGCCUUGCGAGGAUGAUGCUCCAUCAGCCAUGCGUUUUCCGCCAAGCCAAAUCUUGGAGAAAACAACCAAGGAAAAAGGGAAAGGUGGUAAAUCUGGAUCCGGAGGAGCAAAAAGAUCAUGA